UCUUCAGAUUAUAUAUUAAUAUAGGUUAUUAUUUAUUGUGGUCCUAUCAGAAUUUUAAAAGUAUACAAGAAUAAAGGUUCUAGGCGAAGGACAUUCUGAGCCCCGGAACAUCUGUCAUCUUAUACCCAGAAUCCACUGAAUACGAUUUCAGGAUGUAAUGCUUUUAACUUAAAAACUCACACACACACGCACUGACAUACAUAGACAUAGACGCAUAAAGACGUCAGACAAUGUUGACACCAAGUCUGGCGGACUUCCUGCAUACGCCAACCAGAGCUCCAGCAAUUCUAAGAAGAAUUGCACAACGGUUCAACAACAUCAUGAGCGACGCCGCUGCCAACGCCGCCGAUUUAAGUAAUCAGUUUCAAAUUUCUACUUGAACAGGAGGGACUGCGUCCGAGCACUCUCAAGAGAGAGUUCUCAGUGAGAGUUAACAGACGUGUUUACUAUUGUGCUCUUCAAUUAUUCUUGUUUUCUUAGUUAAUUAUUUUUAUUAAAUUUCACAUAAUUGCGGUUCGGUUGUAUA